rnacentral:tRNA from 1 species
GCGCCAAUGGUGUAGUGGUAUCAUACAAGAUUCCCAUUCUUGUGACCUGGGUUCAAUUCCCAGUUGGCGCA